GAACCCAAUUUCUCUCCAUGUUAACAUCACUGGAGAAACAUUACCAGAGGAGGACAAAAGGGGCUGGAAGCUGUGUCUUGGACCUGUGACCCCAAUCUGUCCCUGCACCUGGAUCCUGGGACCCUCUGGAGAGGAACAAGAAAAAACCAGCAACAUCCUAGAGGGUGUGCCAGAGGCUUAACUUUUACCCCGGAAUGGAAGACAAUUUGAAGCAGAGUCAGCUCUGAUCUGUGACAAGAUCUGACAUGAAACGUGAGCAAGAAGCAAACCUCUGCCAUGCUGAAGCACUGAGAUGUAGGGCUGCUUUGUUACUGCGGCAUAACCAGGCCCAUCCUGACGGAAGCACGGUGGUGAUUGAGUUGCAGAGAGAAGGGUCUGCUCUUCAUUGCGGUGACGGGCUUCUCCCUGUGAUGGCCUUUCGUGGAGAACGGACUCCAGGAUGCACAGGCUUCAGUAGUUGAGGUGGCGCAGAAGCUUAGUUGCCACGAGGCAUGUGGGAUCUUCUUGGACCAGGGAAUGAACCCAUGUCUCCUGCAC